rnacentral:rRNA from 1 species
ACGAACGCUGGCGGCGUGCUUCACACAUGCAAGUCGCACGGAAAGGCCCUGCUUUUGUGGGGUGCUCGAGUGGCGAACGGGUGAGUAACACGUGAGUAACCUGCCCUUGACUUUGGGAUAACUUCAGGAAACUGGGGCUAAUACCGGAUAGGAGCUCCUGCUGCAUGGUGGGGGUUGGAAAGUUUCGGCGGUUGGGGAUGGACUCGCGGCUUAUCAGCUUGUUGGUUGGGUAGUGGCUUACCAAGGCUUUGACGGGUAGCCGGCCUGAGAGGGUGACCGGCAAAAUAGGGACUGAGAUACGGCCCAGACGCAUAAGGGAGGCAGGAGUGGGGAAUAUUGGACAAGGGGCGGAAGCCUGAUGCAGAAACGCAGCGUGCGGGAUGACGGCCUUCGGGUUGUAAAACGCUUUAGCCUGUGACGAAGCGUGAGUGACGGAAAUGGGUAAAGAAGCACCGGCUAACUACGU